ensembl:lncRNA
GUAGGAAAGAGAGGACUGCAAGGUGGUGGUAGGAAAGAGAGGACUGCAGGUGGUGGUAGGAAAGAGAGGACUGCAAGGUGUUGGUAGGAAAGAGAGGACUGCAGGGUGGUGGAAGGAAAGAGAGGACUGCAGGGUGGUGGAAGGAAAGAGAGGACUGCAGGGUGGUGGUAGGAAAGAGAGGACUGCAGGGUGGUGGUAGGAAAGAGAGGACUGCAGGGUGGUGGAAGGAAAGAGAGGACUGUGGCAAAGAUGUUUUACAUCUUCAUAAAACAUUUUUCAUUUUCUUCAACAAAGAAUGUUUGCAGGAAAAAGAGAAAUUCAGCAAAUAUAGAAAAACCUGUCAGUAACAGCAACAUGAAGAACCCUUAGAUGUAAGCCAGUGUUCUCAUAGUUGAUCUGUUGGCUGUUUCUAUAUGAACCACAGGCUGACCAGCAGCACUGCAGAGAUGAGUGUAUUUUCCUGACAAGUGUUGGAGGGAAAAUAAAGCAUUCCACAUUCUAACCCCAACGCCAAACCAGAUGUAGAUGUUACUGUGAAAAGUUGAAAAGUUUUACAACGUCCUAGUGUUUUGUGCCAGACAGAGUUUACAAAGUGCUCCCUUGAUGAUUAAACAGCUCCAUAACAAUCACAUAUUGCAUUCUGGGAGCUCAACAGCCACACCACAGUCGUCUAAACAUUGUUUACAACAGUUACAGUAUAAAGACACCCUAUAGGCAUAUUGUAACUGGGACUGAAAGGACAUCCAACCUUUAUUGAAGAUUUAGAUGAGCUGGGCUCCCAUGCAAAAGACACAUGGUCUCAAUGGGACUUUCUAUGUAAAUAAAGACACAUGGUCUCAAUGGGACUUCCUAUGUAAAAAAAGACACAUGGUCUCAAUGGGACUUCCUGACUUCCUGUAUAAAUAAAGACACAUUUACACACUUCCUGUGUAAAUAAAAAGACACAUGGUCUCACUGGGACUUCCUGUGUAAAUAAAGAGAUCUAGUUUCCAUGGGACUUCCUGUGUAAAUGUUAUUAUUUUAUUUCACCUUUAUUUAACCAGGUAGGCUAGUUGAGAACAAGUUCUCAUUUGCAACUGCGACCUGGCAAAGAUAAAGCAUAGCAGUGUGAACAGACAACACAGAGUUACACACGGAGUAAACAAUUAACAAGUCAAUAACAUAAUAGAAAAAAAGGAAUCUAUAUACAUCGUGUGCAAAAGGCAUGAGGAGGUAGGCAAUAAAUAGGCCAAAGGAGU